rnacentral:rRNA from 1 species
AUGAAGGGUUGGGGUGCUAACUUGGGGCAUGACCUCCGCGAGCGUAAGAAGGCCUUGUUGGCCGCCAUCCAAGCCUUGGACUUGCGGGCUAACUCAAUCGGUCUCUCCCGGGACGAGUGGCUCUCUCGCUACGAUUUAGAAGACCAGCUUUCCGUCAUCUACACUGAUGAGGAGGCGUAUUGGCGCCUCCGCGGGGCCCAGAAAUGGGUCUUGAAGGGCGACGCAAACAUGGCCUACUUUCAGGCCAUCGCGAACGGCCGACGUAGACGCAACACCAUCCCCCUCCUCUGGGAUGGUGCCUCCCUAUUGCAAGAUCCCCGCGACAUUUGUAGCCAUGUCGACGAUUUCUACAGGUCCCUGUUCUCUGCCGCUCCUAGGAGCGGCCUCUCCAUGGCGACUGAUUGCUGGACCGAUGCCCAGCUGGUUUCUGAUGAGGAAAACGCGGCCCUCACGGCCCUGUUCUCCGAGGGCGAGGUCUGGACCGCGAUUCGAGGUAUGAAUCCCACCUCCGCUCCGGGCCCCGACGGCCUUCCGGUUAAAUUCUUCCAGGCCUUCUGGAACGUGAUUAAACCUGAGGUCAUGGCCAUCUUUGAUGAGUUCUAUGUUGGAUCCAUCGACCUUGGGCGCCUCAACUAUGGGAUUAUCUAGCUCAUCCCGAAGGUCCCGGGUGCCUCCGACAUCCGCCAGUUUCAUCCAAUCACGGUCAUCAACGUGAUCUUCCGGAUUCUGGCUAAAGGGUACGCCAAUAGGGUGACCCUCCUCACUGACCAUGUUACCCACCCCAACCAGUCCGCCUUCAUUCAGGGGCGGUACAUCCUGGAUGGGGUGCUUGUUCUUCAUGAAGUCCUCCAGCCUCCUCUUGUUUCUUAUGAACUUCUACAGCCUUCACGAGACUCUGCACCAUGA